rnacentral:rRNA from 1 species
UACAGAGGGGGCAAGCGUUGUUCGGAAUUACUGGGCGUAAAGGGCGCGUAGGCGGCCUUCUAAGUCGAACGUGAAAUCCCCGGGCUCAACCCGGGAACUGCGUCCGAUACUGGAAGGCUUGAAUCCGGGAGAGGGAUGCGGAAUUCCAGGUGUAGCGGUGAAAUGCGUAGAGAUCGGGCGGAACACCAGCGGCGAAGGCGGCAUCCUGGCCCUAUCCUGACGCUGAGGCGCGAGAGCGUGGGGAGCAAACCGG